rnacentral:lncRNA from 1 species
AUGGCCCAUAAAAGCCUGCAUUUACCAACACGCAUUGUUGGGUCAAGCAAAUGUCUUCAUGGAAACAUCAAGAACUACCAGUGGCUUCAGUGUAAAAACUGCAACAAAUGGAUUCAUUUCCAUUGCGCUGGAGUAAUAGGAGAGUGGACUGAAAGAGACUUCGAUUGUGGCUGCAAUAAAGCACCCCAAACAAAUGUUAAGUCAAGACUGGACUCAACAGAGGUGGACAGCAUGUUGACCGACCAAGAAAUACGGCGGACAUGGCCGAGGACCCCUCUCCAGACGGGAUUCUCAAACCACACCUCCAGCACAUCUGGGACCCUCGCCAGUUAAAAUGAACGCCAGUUAAACUGUCACACCGGCUAAUGCGCUUUAUUUUAAGCGUCUGCUGCUGGAGGCCACGACGGCUGACGAUGGUGGUCACAGCGGCUGACGGUGGUGGUCACGGCGGUUGACGGUGAUGGUCACGGCGGCUGACGAUGGUAGCGGUGGGUGCUGCUAAUGGUCUGCGAAUUGGCUGCUUAUUUGGUCCUUCUCCUGAGGUUUUUUUUUUUUUUUUCAUUUGGUUCUUCAUGGUUGCGAUGUCAUGGAUCACCUGCCCCUGGUUUUUGUUUUUCUUGUUCACACACACAAACACACAUUCUUGUUGUCUGUCAUUGUUUAAUAAAAAACACUUUCUUUGAAAACAUGGAUUUGUAUCAGCCAUCCUUACACUGAUGACUCAAGAGUUACAAGUGU